ensembl:lncRNA
AUGGAUGGAGCUGGGCUGGACUGGACCAAGCCAGGCUGGACUUGACCAUGUGAUCUCCAGUGUUGGGGUUGGGGAAGGAGCCAGGCUGUGCCAGGCAGGCUCCAAGAGAAAGGACUUCUGAGUGCACUCUGAAGGGAAGCAGGCACCAAGCGCGUCAAGCUGCCUUGCGCUCCAUUUGCCUAGUCUGCCCGCCUCUAAGAUCCCCUGCAAUACUGGCUGGAACUCCACAGUGCCUCAGUGAGGAGCUGCAACAGAGGAAAGAAGAAGAGGUGUGGGAAACUGAGAGGCAGGAGCGAGCAAGAAGAGCAUGCUGCUGGUUGUCAAUGUCAUGGGAUUAACUUUGGCCUUUUGAUGCCACAGUUCAAACGUAUCUCUACGACUUGAUAGCUCCUUAUUGCCACUGAAUACCCCUGAGAAUAAAAUUUGUUUGCAU